ensembl:lncRNA
UUCUGUGUUUUCUGGGCCCGAGCUUCACCAGACUUCACUACAGCCACAGUGGUGAAACUUGUCCACUCCUUGGGCACAUUCAGACUCUCUGCUAAGAACUCCCACCCCCAAGAAGGCUAACAAGUCAGCAGUCUUGAUGUCUAUCUCUAGAUGCCAGUAGGCUCAAAGAUUUCUUACCAUAUGUCUCUCAUCAACUGAACUCUCAGAACUCUGUAGACCUUAGACAAACUGGAAAGAAGGUAUCAACGGGAUUGGACAAGCUGGGCGUCUUGCCCUUGUCCCCCAGAGAUGACACCUUCCCACCAAGUGAAGAAUGCCCACUUCCUCCUUCAGAGCAGCUAAAGGGGCUACCCAGAUCUGUGUUGAAGAGAAAACUCUGUUACCAAUGUGAGAAAAAUGAAGGCACUAGAAACGGAAAUCCUGUAAAUGCUCUCCUUUCCAUCCAACAUAUCCACCUGCAGAAGUCAGGGAAAGAAGAGAGAAGAAAUCAAGAGAAUACUAACUAAUAAAUUAAAAGUUUUCAGAAGCAAAAUCUAAAGCCAGAUGGGCACCAUCUGGUGAGUUUAUUCACCAUCCUUCUCUGCUGCUGAUUCUGGGCUCUAACGUUGGCCAUACUCACUCAGCCACUUUUGUUGCUGCCUCUCGGCCAGAGGAAGCUGAAAUACUGAAACUACCGAACCAUGGCCUCCUUUGGAAAGGUCUGGUUGGUGUGGCUCUGAUGGGCUGCCACCUAUGAACUUGGUGUGUUCCAGCAACACUGGUUUCAUAUAGUCCUUUGGCACUCCUUUGUUCUGUUGACUUUGUCCCCCAGUCAUGAGUACUGGGGAAUGCCUACCUACUUUCUCAUCUUGGCCACUGUCUCUUCACAUAGCUCUUAAAUUCAUCUGCUAAACAACAAAUUAGAAGCCAGUCACCAAGCUGCCUGUUUCAGCUAGUUCACUCUACUUGUUGUUGAGAAGAUAGUUUCUGAGUGACAUGAUAUGAUCUACAUGGGUUUCCUCCCCUGAUUUCUGCUGAUAUUAAUAGCCAAAUGAACCUGCAAAACAGCUUCUUUAAAUAACAAGGGAGAGGGGAACUUAAGAUGUGUGUUACACCAAUCCAAGUCUGCUGGACAAAACUAAAGCUGACAGGUUCUCUUUAUAGGGUAGGAUAGAACAAUUCUGUUUUUCUUUGUUAUGACACCAUUUGGCUUAUGGGAUCACUUUUAGCUGUUUUAAAGAGAAAAAAAAAACCCACCACUCUAUUCAUUUAAACUAGGUUACUUUUUAAUAGUUCCUUUAUAUCUGUUUUGAAAUGAUCCUCAUCUUUUGUGGUACAUGGAUUUGAGUAUAUUAUUUUAAUACCUCUCCUUGUAAAUACUAGAUGCUCUCCUUUCCAUUUCUCUGGGUAUCAAGGUUUUCAUCUUUAUAGAUUUCCCAAUCGUGACUCUUGUCUUUAUGAGUAUAUGUUUUUCACUUGUGAAAGCCAAAAAUCAGUGAAAUGGCAGUGUAAUUAAAAACAGAAACAACUAGAUUACUCUGAACUCCCAAAUGGCAAGACAAGGAGAAAAUGGCCUAAACAAGGAUUUAGGUGUACUGUUUUUGCACUGGGCUUCCCUGGUGGCUCAGACGGUAAAGCGUCUGCCUGCAAUGCAGGAGACCUGGGUUCGAUUCCUGGGUCGGGAAGGUCCCCUGGAGAAGGAAAUGGAAAUCCACUCCAGCACUCUUGCCUGGAAAAUCCCAUGGAUGGAGGAGCCUGAUAGGCUACAGUCCAUGGUGUCGCAAAGAGUCGGACACGAGUGAGCGACUUCAAUUUCACUUUUGACUUCACUUUCAGUGAGCAAAAGAGAUUUUAGCUUAGCUUUGGCUCCCACAGAUGAAAGGGGGAUUUUUAUUUUCUUUUGGCCAUUGUUAUUCCAGCCAGCGUAAUUGCCAGAAGUCUCAUUUUGCAUGCACUCUGCUCUACAAACAGAUUUGAUACGGUUGGUACACUGUGCUCACCUUUGAAGGAUCAGCCACCCACACCUAUUCACCUGGUGAGCUUAAAGAUGAGGAUCACUCACCAGACAAGCCAUGGAGACUAUCCCCAAAAAGGUCAUAGCUGAUACCAUGUACUUGUAAGAGAGGCCACAGCUACAUUUUAGAAGCUCUCAGAAUGGAAAAGACACCUGCGUUGAUCAGAUAACCAAGAGAUCUCUGUUCCUAUUGAGGCCUGACUCACAGGCCUUGCAAAGGAGCAAAGAAGGGAAAAGGGUAGGGUACAUUAUGUGUUGCACUUUACUAGCCCAAGACAGAUGAAUGUGUAAAGGGUGGUGAAGUCCCAUUGAAACGGACUGGGAUUUACCAUAGGGAAGGCCCAUACUUGGGGCCAAAGGCCCACCCAAACGAUUAGCCUGUGGCCCCCUAAUGGGACCUGUGCAGCUGGAAAAAGAAAGGGUAUUCUUUGUUCUUCAUCACCCCAGUGAGAAAAGGGCAGUUUCCUGCACUUGGGAACCUGGAGCAAGUGCUCCAUUUCAAACAAUUCACUCACCUGCGAUUGAGGUGCUCUUGCUACUGGGUGUCUAUGUGCUCUAAUUCUGAUUUUGGAUAUGUUCUGUAAAGAUUUUUGACAAUGAAAAUGUGUUUCUAUUUGUUAAAAAAUUAUCAGUGUACUAGAAGUAGUAUAUCUGUAGGUACAGGUCCAUCUCUACCCACAGGUAGGGAUGUUUUUCUUCAGAGAUUGACACUGGGGUCUGUUGCCCAGAGCCUCCCAAUCCUUAACCUUUUCUAGGUGAAGGCAGAAAAAUCCACAGUCACUCCUCUAAAAACAAUUCAGCUGAAGUAACAAACCAUUCAGAAUGUUUCCAUUCCAAAUAUAAGUGGUAAAUAUUUUAAUUUAACAGGUAGAGUUUUAAAGGGAAAAGUAGCCUUUGACUCAUCUUUGAUUUUUCCUCAUUAGAUUUGGCCAUAAAAUAAAUGAUACACAUUGAUUGGUUUUAACCCCAAUUCAGUUGAGCAAGAGUACUGGUUCCUUUCUUUAUCCCACUUCUCUCUUAGCUUUUUAUGGAAUUAAAUGAGAAGCUAUGGUCUGAGUAGCCCUUGUGGUUUAAAACAGUUUGCACAUGCAUUACUUUAAAAGGCUGUCACAUAGCUACAGAUUCCAUUGGCCACCAAUACUGGAACUCACAUCCAUUCCCAAAGGAAAGGAAAUUCUGGAAUGAUACUGCUUCUCUGCUGGUGCCCUCCUGGGCUAAUGCUUCACAUUUUGGAACUCUGUACCUUGCACAGUAGAUAAACCAAGCCUGCAGUCUCUCCCAGCUUUAGCCCUUGGUGUUGUACUGCAGUGAUGUGCCUGUGGGGUUGUUCAAUCCCAUAAGCCACUCAGGUGCUGAGAGUACCCACCAUUGGGAUGACCCAAGCUACCAAAAUAGUUUCUCCCCCCACUUUGACACCUUUCUGCUUUUCCCUAGACUGGAGUAUUGAUUAGGGAGUACCUCAGACAUGACAUUCUUGGGCUGUCCUCGAGAUUACUUUGGCAGCAGAAGAGAGCUGACUAUGUAACCAGAUGUAAGAAUUUACUUUACGCUGAGGGAAAAAUUUUAAAGAAAGAAAGCAUCAUAUAAAGUUGUUUUUUUUUUUUUUUUUUUUUUUAAGAAACAUUCAUUUUGCUUGAAAUGUCUUUUGAUGGGGCUUCAGUUCUCACAACGACACUUGGCCUCCACUGGGCAGCAGAACCAGCCCCAAGCGCUAGUGUUCUAUUCUCUUUUUGUAAUCUUGGAAUCUUUUGUUGCUCUAAAUACAAUUAAAAAUGCAGAAACUUGUUUGUUGGAAUACAUGUGUGACUCUGGGUUUGUCUCUGUCUCUGCUUUCAGAAAUGUCAUCCAUUGUGUAAAAUACUGCCUUGCUGGCCUGCCAGCUAAAACUUGGCCACAGCCCCUGUUGUGGCUGCAGGCUCAAGUUAUUGUUAACAAAGAGACCCAAGAAAAGCUGCUAAU